rnacentral:rRNA from 1 species
AUGCCAAUAUUCUACAACUUUCAUAUACUUUUGGCAACUUUUUAUACUAUUUUUGGGACCAACAUAUUGAUCCAGUGCCCAGUGCCAGUUCCUGUUUGUUGCAUGUUUUAUGUUUCGCAGAAACCCCACAUCAAACGGAAUCCAAACGGAAUAAAAACGGACGGAGAAUAUUUUUGGAAUAUUUGGAGAAUAUGGGAAGAAGAAUCAACGCGAGACGGUGCCCAAGGUGGCCACGAGGCAGGGGGCACGCCUGCCCCCCCUGGGCGCGCCCCUGACCCUCGUGGGCCCCUCGUAAGGCGGUUGCUGCUAUUCUUUUGCCGCAACAAAGCUAAUUUUUGGAGAAAAAUCUGGGUGAAGGUUUCAAUCAAAUCGGAGUUACGGAUCUCCAUAUAUAUAUACGAAACAGUGAAAGGGCAGAAGACAAGAACGCAGAAACAGAGAGAGACAGAGAGACAGAUCCAAUCUCGGAGGGGCUGUCGCCCCUCCCAUGCCAUGGAGACCAUGGACCAGAGGGGAAACCCUUCUCCCACCUAG